rnacentral:rRNA from 1 species
UACAGAGGGGGCAAGCGUUGUUCGGAAUUACUGGGCGUAAAGGGCGCGUAGGCGGCCCGCUAAGUCGAACGUGAAAUCCCCGGGCUCAACCCGGGAACUGCGUCCGAUACUGGUGGGCUUGAAUCAGACAGAGGCAAGCGGAAUUCCGGGUGUAGUGGUGAAAUGCGUAGAGAUCCGGAGGAACACCAGAGGCGCAGGCGGCUUGCUGGGUCUGUAUUGACGCUCAGACACGAAAGCAUGGGGAGCGAACGGG